rnacentral:rRNA from 1 species
GAAUUUAAGCAUAUUAUUAAGCGGAGGAAAAGAAACUAACUAGGAUUCCCUCAGUAGCGGCGAGCGAAGCGGGAAGAGACCGAGAUGAAAAUCCCUUCGGGGAGUUGUAAUCUGGGCAAUGUUGAGUGUUCAGUGAGUGUAAGUCACAUGGAAAUGUGUACCGUGGAGGGUGAAAGUCCCGUCCAACAUUCACAGGAAUUUCUCGUACGACAUUGUUUCAACCGAGUCGGGUAGCUUGAGAAUGCUGCUCUAAUAGGUGGUAAACUUCAUCUAAGUCUAAAUACUAGUGGGAGACCGAUAGUGAACAAGUACCGUGAGGGAAAGAUGAAAAGCACUUUGAAAAGAGGGUGAAAAGUACCUGAAACCGCCAGGGGGGAAGCGAAUUGCAUCAGUGAUGGGCUUUCUAGUGUUCAGCAAACACAUUUGUGUUUGUGUAUUCACUAGCGAUGCUACGUUGGAAUGGCUGUUGUACUGUGGAAGUAAUAAUUGCACAGUGCGAUGGUGAGGGCUCCCGCAAGGUGAGGAUUUCAACUAAAUGAUGCGAUUCGACCCGUCUUGAAACACGGACCAAGGAGUUUAGCACUACUGCGAGUCGAAGGGUGUGGGAAACCCAUAGGCGUAGUGAAAGCGAAAGCUGAAAUAUUAGCAUGUAAAAUUUCAACAAUUCGAGGAGGUGUGGCGUCAUUGACAAUACAUUCUACCUAGAGCAGUAGUGCUGAGACCCGAAAGAUGGUGAACUAUGCUGGAGUAGGGCGAAGCCAGAGGAAACUCUGGUGGAGGCCCGUAGCGAUGCUGACGUGCAAAUCGCUCGUCGAACUUGAGUAUAGGGGCGAAAGACUAAUCGAACCAUCUAGUAGCUGGUUCCCUCCGAAGUUUCUCUCAGGAUAGCGGGCCGACAAUGUCGUAAGAAUAACGUAAAAGUGUGUUGUUUUGUGUGGUAAAGCGAAUGAUUAGCGUAUUUGGGGGUGCAAUACCUUCGGACGAUUCUCAAACUUUAAAUACGCAAGAAAGGGAUGGUUGCUUCGGUGAACUUCUCUCUCUCGAAAACGUCGGCCCUGUGGGCCACUUUUGGUAAGCAGAACUGGCGAUAUGGGAUGAACCAUAAGUUGGGUUAAGGCGUCUAAAUCUUCGCUUAAAGAUCCCACAAAAGGUGUUGGUUCAUAUAGACAGCAGGACGGUGGCCAUGGAAGUCGGAAUCCGCUAAGGAGUGUGUAACAACUCACCUGCCGAAUGAACUAGCCCUGAAAAUGGAUGACGCUUAAGCGGAGUGCCGACACCCGACCGUUUCGGUAAAAUAACAAGCACACGACCGAAAUGAGUAGGAGGGCGUGGCGAUUUUGUUUCGAAGGGUACGACGCGAGUCUACCUGGAACGGUCGCUAGUGCAGAUCUUGGUGGUAGUAGCAAAUAUUUAAGCGAGAUCCUUAAAGGGCGAAGCGGGGAAGGGUUCCACGCGAACAUUGAUUGGGCGUGGGUGAGUCGUUCCUAAGCCGGGUGGUAAUCGUUCUUACGAUCGGCGAAAGGGAAGUUGGUUAAAAUUCCAACACACGGAUGUGGAGGCGGCAACGCAAAUUGAGGUGGAGACGUUAGCGGUGACACUGGGCAGAGUUUUCUUUUCUGUUUAACCCGUUGUGCACUCUGUGGAAUUCGAUUAUCGAGAGAAACAGGUGCGCGCUUUGGGAAGAGCGUCGGGGCGUCCCCGGCGUCCAGUACGUCACCGAUAACCCUUGAAAAUCCAUCUGCAAUCUAAUUUCACGCCGUGGCGUACCGAUAACCGCAGCAGGUCCCCAAGGUGAACAGCCUCUGCUCAAUAUGAACAAUGCAGGUAAGGGAAGUCGGCAAAAUAGACCCGUAACUUUGGGAAAAGGGUUGGCUCUAGUGGAGCGAAGGCUUUUUUGGCCAUCAUCUGAUUGAUGGGUUGUCGGCUUGUUGUGGCUAGACCGUGGCAACGCGUUGUUUGGCUGUGACGAAUCGCUUCUCGUUGAUUGGUGGUGUUCGACCUUCAUCAUGCUCCAAACUAGAACUGCAACGGGCAAAGGGAAUCCGACUGUUUAAUUAAAACAAAGCAUUGCGAUGGCCGAGGUCGGUGUAGACGCAAUGUGAUUUCUGCUCAGUGCUCUGAAUGUCAAAGUGAAGAGAUUCAAACAAGCGCGGGUAAACAGCGGGAGUAACUAUGACUCUCUUAAGGUAGCCAAAUGCCUCGUCAUCUAAUUAGUGACGCGCAUGAAUGGAUUAACGAGAUUCCUACUGUCCCUAUCUGCUUCUAGCGAAACCACAGCCGAGGGAACGGGCUCGGCAAAAUCGGCGGGGAAAGAAGACCCUGUUGAGCUUGACUCUAUUCUAAUUUUGUGACGCAAGUUAGGAGGUGUAGCAUAGGUGGGAGAUUCGCUUCGGCAAUCGUCAAUGAAAUACCACUACUCUUAAUCUUGUUUUACUUAUGGCGUUAAACUGCACGACCCAUUGUGUGGUCUAUUUUAGAAUCAACUUGGAAAAUAUACACGACAGGGCAUUGCACUUCGCGGUGUGAUGCCCUGAUCCCCUCGGAGCAGCGCGCCUGACAUAAUUAGGAGGGGAGUUUGGCUGGGGCGGCACAUCUUCUACAAGACAACGAAGGUGUCCAAAGAUAAGCUCAGUGAGAACAGAAAUCUCACGUAGCGCAAAAGGGUAAAAGCUUGUUUGAUUUUGAUUUUCAGUGUGAGUUAAAAAUACGAAAGUAUGGCCUAUCGAUCCUUUCACAAUUCGAGGUUUGAAGCGAAGGUGUCAGAAAAGU